rnacentral:lncRNA from 1 species
GGUUGCUGUGGGGGGCCUUCAUUCACCGGCCAGUUCUCGGCCCGGUGGAGCCUGCUCCCCGCCUGGAGCGUGGGGGAGUGAUGGACGCGUGAGUGUCCAACAGGGGCAGUGCAGAGCAGGGGCAGUGCAGAGCAGGGGCAGCGCCUUCAGUGCAGGGUAAAAAGCCACUGCCAGCCAGGGGCAACUGGCCUCCAAAACCCCCAAGGACGCAGUGGGGUUACCUUCAGUUAAAUGUGACUACAACUGGAGCUGCUGUGCUAUGAGAGCUCAGAAGCCCCAGGCAGCUUUGUCUGGACACAGUUGCAGCAGGGAACAAGCUGAAGCCGGAAUCAGCCGUGGGUCACUGCGUGGUGCACCACGACAAGCGUGUUCACCUUUCCUCCUCACCGGGGUCCACACAAGGGUCCUGCGAGGACCAACGUUGGGGCCUCCGGGUCACAGUGCUGGGUGCACAGCGGAAGUCAGGGCUUGCCCCUCUUUGUGGGCCUUCUUACCAGCUGAAGCACUCCCCUGGGUUUGACCCUGAUGGGUUAGGCACUGAAACCUGCAGCUGGGGCAGAUGAGGUGAGGCCAAGACCAGAACAGCCGCCUCCACCGCGCACAGGCAGCUCCAGACCUGCUGAUGACCACAGACCGUUGGUUGGCCCUGGGGGCACCGUUCACACUCCUGCCUCCUCCAAGCAGGACCCGAAGACUCUCACCAAGCACACAUGAAACGCAUCACUGCGGCACAGAUGGAAGUAGGGUGACAGGCUCCUCACUUCAGGCUCCACUAAACAGCCAUGAAGGAAUUAGAACGCUGUAAACAUACGAGACCAGAGAGAAUGAGAGAACAGGGUUGUAGGCGGUAGGUGACACAAGGGGACUGGCAAGGAGCCACUGGGCUCCCCCCAGGGAGGAGAGUCAGAUCUGAAGGACACCAGUGCAGAGAAAGGAGCUGGGGUUGGGGAGGGCAUGGAUGAGGAGCAAGAUUGGGAAUGGGGGAUUGGGUAAAAAUUCACAGAUAGGGUGGAUAACCCAGGCAAGCCUCCAAAUGCCCAUAACAGAUCAUUCUCUAGCCCUCCCCAGACCACCCGCACCAAGAGCAGGAAACCAAAGACACUUCCUGG